AUUGAACGCUGGCGGCAUGCCUUACACAUGCAAGUCGAACGGCAGCAUGAUCUAGCUUGCUAGAUUGAUGGCGAGUGGCGAACGGGUGAGUAAUACAUCGGAACGUGCCCCGUAGUGGGGGAUAACUAGUCGAAAGAUUAGCUAAUACCGCAUACGACCUGAGGGUGAAAGUGGGGGACCGCAAGGCCUCAUGCUAUAGGAGCGGCCGAUGUCUGAUUAGCUAGUUGGUGAGGUAAAGGCUCACCAAGGCGACGAUCAGUAGCUGGUCGGAGAGGACGAUCAGCCACACUGGGACUGAGACACGGCCCAGACUCCUACGGGAGGCAGCAGUGGGGAAUUUUGGACAAUGGGGGCAACCCUGAUCCAGCAAUGCCGCGUGUGUGAAGAAGGCCUUCGGGUUGUAAAGCACUUUUGUCCGGAAAGAAAUCGCACUUACUAAUAUUAGGUGUGGAUGACGGUACCGGAAGAAUAAGGACCGGCUAACUACGUGCCAGCAGCCGCGGUAACAC
rnacentral:rRNA from 1 species